UGAGUAACACGUAUCCAACCUGCCGUCUACUCUUGGCCAGCCUUCUGAGAGGAAGAUUAAUCCAGGAUGGCAUCAUGAGUUCACAUGUCCGCAUGAUUAAAGGUAUUUUCCGGUAGACGAUGGGGAUGCGUUCCAUUAGAUAGUAGGCGGGGUAACGGCCCACCUAGUCAACGAUGGAUAGGGGUUCUGAGAGGAAGGUCCCCCACAUUGGAACUGAGACACGGUCCAA
rnacentral:rRNA from 1 species